AGGGAAUCUUCCGCAAUGGACGAAAGUCUGACGGAGCAACGCCGCGUGAGUGAAGAAGGCCUUCGGGUCGUAAAGCUCUGUUGCCGGGGAAGAACAAGUGCCGUUCGAACAGGGCGGUGCCUUGACGGUACCCGGCCAGAAAGCCACGGCUAACUACGUGCCAGCAGCCGCGGUAAUACGUAGGUGGCAAGCGUUGUCCGGAAUUAUUGGGCGUAAAGCGCGCGCAGGCAGCUUCGUAAGUCUGAUGCGAAAUCGUGCGGCUCAACCGCAAGCGGUCAUUGGACACUGGGAGGCUUGAGUGCAGAAGAGGAGAGUGGAAUUCCACGUGUAGCGGUGAAAUGCGUAGAGAUGUGGAGGAACACCAGUGGCGAAGGCGGCUCUCUGGUCUGUAACUGACGCUGAGGCGCGAAAGCGUGGGGAGCAAAC
rnacentral:rRNA from 1 species